ACCAACUGUGAGAUCAUGACCUGAGCCAUUAUCAAGAGUCAAACGUUUAACCGACUAAGACACCCAGGUGCCCAAGAAAAAGAAAAAUUUUAAAGUAAGAAGAGGAGAAGCAUAGGUUUCUCAGAACUUCUAUAGGCAGCAAACAUCAAAAGGACCGAAGAUUUUUAUACUGAUUCAGCCACCCACAGCAAUGAAGUAAACCCUGAUUUUCUUUUAGUCUAGGAAAUGAUCAGCAAAGAGGCUUCAUAAACAGCCUCUUUAACACUUGAAGCUUAAAAAACCAGGAAAAAAAUCAGUGUAGCAGAAUGGUUACUGUCAUAAACACCUUUGAAGGUUUUUCUUUUUCUUUUUUUUUUUUUUUAAGUAACCCUUCUAAUCCCUCCUCUACCAACAUUAUAGAAUAUUUUCUUUACCACAACUUUUCGGUUAGGCAUUUUAAAUUAUGCCUUUUAAAAAAACAAAAGAUAAAGUAUAUUACAUUUUG